rnacentral:rRNA from 1 species
GGUGCGUAACGCGUAUACAAUCUGCCUUUCACAUAGGGAUAGCCCGAAGAAAUUUGGAUUAAUACCUAAUGGUAUAUAGGAGUGGCAUCACAUUUAUAUUAAAGCUGAGGCGGUGAAAGAUGAGUAUGCGUUCUAUUAGCUAGUUGGAGAGGUAACGGCUCCCCAAGGCUACGAUAGAUAGGGGUUCUGAGAGGGAUAUCCCCCACACUGGUACUGAGAUACGGACCAG